rnacentral:rRNA from 1 species
CGGACGGGUGAGUAAUGUCUGGGAAACUGCCCGAUGGAGGGGGAUAACUACUGGAAACGGUAGCUAAUACCGCAUAACGUCGCAAGACCAAAGAGGGGACCUUAGGGCCUCUUGCCAUCGGAUGUGCCCAGAUGGGAUUAGCUAGUAGGUGGGGUAAUGGCUCACCUAGGCGACGAUCCCUAGCUAGUCUGAGAGGAUGACCAGCCACACUGGAACUGAGACACGGUCCAG